AUUGAACGCUGGCGGCAGGCUUAACACAUGCAAGUCGAACGAGUGGCGGACGGGUGAGUAAUGCUUGGGAACCUAGCUUAUGGAGGGGGAUAACUACGGGAAACUGUAGCUAAUCCCGCGUACCAUAGGAUGAGCCCAAGUGGGAUUAGGUAGUUGGUGAGGUAAAGGCUCACCAAGACGACGAUCUCUAGCUGGUCUGAGAGGAUGACCAGCCACACGGGGACUUAGACACGGCCCAGACUCCUACGGUAGGCAGAAGUGGGGAAUAUUGCGCAAUGGGGGAAACCUGACGCAGCCAUGCCGCGUGGAUGAGGAAGGCCUUCGGGUUGUAAAGUUCUUUCGGUAGCGAGGCGUUAACUAAAGAAGAAGAACCGGCUAACUCCGUGCCAGCAGCCGCGGUAAUUC
rnacentral:rRNA from 1 species